rnacentral:rRNA from 1 species
GACGAACGCUGGCGGCGUGCUUAACACAUGCAAGUCGAACGGAAAGGCCUUUUCGGAGGUACUCGAGUGGCGAACGGGUGAGUAACACGUGGGUGAUCUGCCCUGCACUCUGGGAUAAGCCUGGGAAACUGGGUCUAAUACCGGAUAGGACCGCACUUUAGUGUGUGUGGUGGAAAGUUUUUUCGGUGUAGGAUGAGCCCGCGGCCUAUCAGCUUGUUGGUGGGGUAAUGGCCUACCAAGGCGGCGACGGGUAGCCGGACUGAGAGGUUGGUCGGCCACAUUGGGACUGAGAUACGGCCCAGACUCCUACGGGAGGCAGCAGUGGGGAAUAUUGCACAAUGGGCGCAAGCCUGAUGCAGCGACGCCGCGUGGGGGAUGACGGCCUUCGGGUUGUAAACUCCCUUCGCCAGGGACGAAGCGUUUUGUGACGGUACCUGGAGAAGAAGCACCGGCUAACUACGUG